AUUUUGACCAAAUUUCUACACAUAACCUUGUUCCAUGUAACCUCAUAAUAGGAAAUCUAAAGGAGAUGGCGGUUUAUUUAGAUUUAGAUGUACAACUUUCAAUGCUAAAAUGGAAACUAUUAUGUUUAAAAUGUCACCAAUUGUGUCAUAAAGAUUAGUGAUGUCCCGAACGGUUCGCCGCGGACGGCGAACAUAUGACCCUGUACCUCACAGUCAGCAGACACAUUCCAG